ACACACACACAAUCCAAGAGCGAAGAGUAAAGACAAUCAUUUUAAUGGCUCUUUAGGGCAACUGUUUUCACCCUGGCUCCUCUGAGCCCUUGGAUUCCACAGGGAGGCCUCCUCGGGGCACCUUGGGAGAUGAGAUGGAGAUAAGACCACUAGGGCCUGGAUGCCUGGGAGCUACGGGGCUUUGAUCCACUUGUUCUCUGGUUUCCUUUAAGAUUUUUCAAACAAAUACAUAAAUAAACCCCUGACGCAAAGAAGUCUUCAGUGACCAGUCAUUUGUGUGUCAUCAAAAGGUGCGCGCGCACGCACACACACACACACACACACACACACACACACACACCCCUGUAAGUAUAAUACUACUGACAGAUCUGUUCUUUUUUUUUUUUUUUUUUUGUCUUUUUGCCUUUUCUAGGGCUACUUCCACGGCAUAUGGAGAUUCCCAGGCUAGGGGUCUAAUUGGAGCUAUAGCCACUGGUCUUCGCCAGAGCCACAGCAAUGCCGGAUCCUAGCCGUGUCUCCAAUCUACAUCACAGCUCACAGGCAACGCAGGAGCCUUAACCCACUGAGCAAGGCGGGAUCGAACCCGCAACCUCAUGGUUCCUAGUCGGAUUCGUUAACUACUGCGCCAAGACGGGAACUCCCUAGAUCUGUUCUUUUUUAAAAACUUUUUUUAUUAUAGUUGAUUUACAAUGUUCUGUCAGUUACGGCUGUACAGCAAAGUAACCCAGUUAUACAUAUAUACAGAUUCUUUUCCUCAUAAUAUUUCCCAUCAUGUUCCAUCACAAGUGACUGGAUAUAGUUCUCUGUACUAUACAGCAGGACCUCAGUGCUUGCACACUCCAAAUGCAAUAGUUUGCAUCUACUAACCCAAACUCCCACUCCCUCCCCCUCUGCCUUGGCCACCACACAUCUGACAGAUCCAUUCUACUUGUUUUUCAAGAACUUGCUGAAUGCCUCCGUGUACUUUGCACCUACUAGUCAGCAUCAUAUAAGGGGUGAAGCCAGUUUGGUUAAAUUCGGCCUUGAACUCCAGGAUAAUGAAACAGAUGUGAUGGUGACAGUGAUGAUGAUGACGAUGGCACCACUGAGCCCUUCCCAUGUGCCCAGCACUAUACAUCACCUAAUUACUUAAUGUAAUUUUUGCCAUAGUCUUACAAGAUACUAUUAAACUGAGGCUGACGAAGGUUUAAGAGAAUGGCCCAUGGUCAUGCAGCUAGAAAAAGGCAGAAGCUAACCUCAAAGAGCUCAUUGAGAAUCACAAGGAUGAAUUGGCAAGGUUUUAUAACAGACAAGGUACCAGAAACAUACAUUUGUUCUUUAAAUGUUAUUUUACCCAUGUAGGCAUGUUCUGAAUUUUUUCCCUUCAAACUUGCUCAAACUUAGAGGUUAAAUAACCAUCCUCGCCUAACCAGGGAGGGACCACCCACCAUAUUUCUCCUUGCCUUGUCUUACAUUCCUGCUCAAGCCCGAGACAGCAAAUUCAAACAAGAACAUGGAGACAAGACCAAAGUCUACUUUUAGAGAAAAGAAGAACUACCAGACUCAAACACUGUAUAUUUUUCAAAACAUGCUGACUAUUAACUUCAUCUCAUAGCUAGUGACACACACCCUGUAACAUGGUUAGUCCAGAACCCAAGCUCAGAAAUCACAUUAUUUGUUAACAGGAUUUGGGUACUUGCCAUUGUCACACUGCAAUAAAAAAAAAGAAGAAGCAGCAUCUCUAAAUUGCUCCUGGAAGAGGGGGUUUCCUCACAAAAUUGCCCGGUUGCACCAUAAGUUAUCAUUACUCUUACAAUCACGAGGAAGGAAAUCAGGCAUACUUUGCAGAAGUCAGCGAAAUUAACUGGGCCCUAAGCAACUUCUUAUUUGUUGGUGUCAGAAACACAUUAUCCACAGAGGCAGGAGGAGAAAGUUAAGACUACAGGACACCGCCAAGAUGUUCCUUUGCUGGAGCACUUCAGUACACUGUCAAUCCCACCAGGAGGCUUUCAGAACAUUUGUCUUCCUCCUAUGAAUCACGUUGUAUUGCAUUCAAACCAAACCAAAGUGCAUGAUUAGCAUAAAACAAUAUUAGCAUAAAUAGAAAGAGAAUCAGGAUUUUGAGGGGAGGGAAAAAAUAGCUCAUAUAAGUGGCCUACUCAUUUCAGUUGACUUCCCUGAAGCUGAUAAACUGUGAAAUUUCCAUAACAAUACAAGAAUACAGAAAACAAACAGCUAUUUUAUUUGAUAGGGAAAUUGCAUCCUGUUACUGGAUAUAAAAUUCUACAGCAUGUUCAAUGGUGUUUUCAAAGCACUGAAAAUGUAGACAUAUGUUUUCAUUUUUAAAUCCAGCUGUAAUGUAAAUAAUAAAUCCACCAUAAUUUGGCUGGUCCAGAGACUGCUGGCAUCAUGAACUCAGAAACCCAGAGACAUAAAUGUUCUACUUCUCUUGCUAGGCACUCAGCCAGAAGUCCCUCUAACUCUGAGGAUGCUAAAACAUGCCCUCUGCUCCAUCUACAUCUCUGCCUUGUUCAACAGUCUUCUGGAGCUCCCUGUUGCUAUUUGCACCACAGAUGCUCUCUGACACCCUCCUUUCUCCCUUGCCUGUAUCCUUUUUUAUUUCUUCCUAAAUAAAGGAUUUUUAUAUUCUCUCCUAACUCAUUCAACAAUAAAUCAAUCCCAUCUUCCCUCAGCUCCUCAAUGUGGUCCAUUCUGGUAGACUGAUGGAGAGAGGGCUGCACCCUUCCAUUCCCUGUAGGCUUGCCUCUUGAAAUGUGAUGUGGCAGCCCCUCUUAUCAUCAUCAUCACUGUCCAGUGGCAAGCAGUGCAGGUAUCAGAAGACAAGACCAAGACUGACCCUUAGGAAGCCUCGUGUGUUUCCACUUUCUCUUGAAAUUCUGCCAUCCAUGUGGGAAUAAGCCAGUAGCCUUCAAGCGGAUGAGAGACCACAAGGAGGACAGUCAGUCUCCAAAAGACCCUUCUGGUCAACCCAGGGGGUGCAGCAGACACAUGAGUAAGAGUAAACCAAAGCUGAGGCCAGCCCAAAUUGCCAACCUGCAGAAUCAUAUGCUAAAUGUAAGCUUCUAUGUUUUGGGGUGUUUUGUUACACAGCAAGGGUAAACGGAUACAUCUUGUUCUCUUCUUACAUCUCUGCACUACUCACACCUGAUGGUACACUUCACUCUUCCAGAAAUUCCACUAAAGAGAAAUUACUUUAAAAAACUGUUUCAAAAUUCUCCAUAGAUUAUCUGAUAUUCAUUAAGCUUCCCAAUUUUAAAAGCUAAAAAAUAUUUACUCUUGUACAAAUGUAAUUUAUUAAUUUCAGCCCUGACAAAUACCUGCAGAAUUUGAAUCACAGCUACUGUGAGACAGGGGUUCUCAGGCAGUGUUUAUAUCAUUAUAAACAACAAUUAUCCAAACUACAAUAUGCAUAACCACUUGCUUCCCACUCCAAAAGUUUAUCUUCCAACAUGUGAUUUAAUUGGUUUGUGACUCUAAAUUAAAUGUGUAUAUUACAUUCACACCUUUAUCAUUGAAAAAUCCCACUGCUGCACACAUAGGAAGAAUUGAAUCCUUUUGGCUUACAUUGAACUCAACUUGAAUAUUGUUAUAAUUAUUUAUAGAAUAUAUAUUGAAAGACUACAUCAACAUCUUAUGAACUUUGCAUACAUUAUCUGUACUUAUUUUCAGUUUCAGGGGCAAUCAAAACAAGAUUGAAAAAAUAAUUUAGUUUGAUGUAAAACAUAUUGUUAGAGGAGUUCCUGUCGUGGCACAGUGGUUAACAAAUCCGACUAAGAACCAUGUGGUUGCGGGUUUGAUCCCUGGCCUUACUCAGUGGGUUAAGGAUCCGGCGUUGCCAUGAGCUGUGGUUUAGGUCGCAGUCUCAGCUCAGAUCUGGCGUUGCUGUGACUGUGGCGUAGGCCAGCGGCUAUAGCUCCGAUUCAACCUUUAGCCUGGGAAUCUCCAUGUGCUGUGGGUGAGGCCCUAAAAAACAAAACAAAACAAAAAGAAAGAAAGAAAAGAAAAAAAGAGAAAGAACAGUUGGGGGUGGAUUUAAUACUAACAACAACUUAAAUUAAGAUAGAGGUUUCUUUCUUUCCCAAGUAAAAAUGCAGGUGUAGGCUAACGAGGUCUGUAAAAUGGCUUGCUCCCUGAAGUCCUUAGGAACCCAGGCUCCUUUCAGCUUGUAGCUCUGCCAUUUGAGCCCUGGCCUCAUGGUGCAAGAUGGUAGUUAGAGUUCCAGCUAUCACACCCACAUUUCAAGCAGCAGAAGGAAGAAAGAAAAAAAGGCAAAGGGUUCAUGCCAGCUAUCUUUUAAGAAAAAUUACCUGGAGGAGCUGCCAAGAUUAAAUCCCAUUGGCCAGAAUUUAGUCCCAUGGCCAUAUUGAGUCACAAAGACAUCUGACCAUGUCCUUUUAAAAAAUUGGUUAUGUGCCCAGCUAUAAUAAGGAGUUUAAGAGGGAAGAACAAAUAUCAGAGUAGGUAACUAGUGACUUCUCCAGAAUAUGUUUUAUGUUGGGGACAUGGUCUGUAAAUUUUCCCAGACUAUAAAACUGACCAUAAUAUGCCAGUUUUCCAUUUUUGUUCUUGUUUUACAUAAUAACCUUCUCAUGGACAAGCUCUAUCUAUAAAUUCCCUCUGCAUAGAAUGGUAGAAAGAGAUUCUUCCCUAAUUAGGAAUCUCUUCUGUUGAACAUGAAAAAGCACCCUGCCAAAAUUGGCUUAAGCCAUAAGGGGGUUUAUGGGCUCACUUCAGUAAAAAGUCCAUAAUGAGGAGUUCCCACUGUGGAGCAGUGGCUUAAGGAUCAGUUAUACAUACAUGCAUACUCAUUCUUUUUCAGAUUCUUUUCCCAUAUAGGUUAUCACAGAAUACUGAGUAGAUUUCCCUGUGCUACACAGCAGGUCCCUGUCGACCAUCCAUUCCACGUACAAUAAUUUGCAUGUGUCAAUCCCAAACUCCCAGUCCACCCCCGCCACCCAAGAUCCAUUUUUGCCCACCUCUCAGCUGGGUUCUGCAUUCUUCCAUGCACUGGCCUAAUUCGUGGUCUACAUGUGGUAGCAAGGUGGCAACAGUAGCACAAGUCCACGUGUUUUCAGGUUCAAGUCCCAUGGGAAAGAAAAGUCUCACUGUGCAUGGCUCGGAUUGAGUCACACAGCCAAUGGGUGAAUCAAUCUCUGUAACCAAAAAGAAAGCAGUGCUACUCUCUUUAGGCCAAUCAACCCUUGAUGCUAGCUUUGGAUUUGAUACCUUUAGAAAAAACAACAUGUGGCCUGAAAGUGGGUGGUUUCCCAAAGAGAAUUUGGGAUAUCAUUUUACACAAAAUGAUAUUUUACAUCAGAAAUGCUAAGUGGACAUUGGCCAAACAAUGAAUCUGUUAUGGAAAUAUUUCACACAUAACACAAAAACUCAACUGGUGUUUUCCAUGACUCAAGAUAUAACCACUUCCCAAGGUAUUCAUAGGACCUUGAGGCUAAAGAAUAAAACCUACUUCAUAGGCUUGAUAUGAUAGUUUAAUGAUAUAACACAUUUUAGAAAAUAUACAGUGUAGGAGCUCCCGUUGUGGUGCAGUGGAAACAAAUCUGACUAGGAACCAUGAGGUUGCGGGUUCAAUCCCUGGCCUCGCUCAGUGGGUUAAGGAUCCGGCAUUGCCAUGAGCUGUGGUGUAGGUUGCAGAUGCAGCUAGGAUCUGACAUUGCUGUGAUUGUGGUGUAGACCAGCGGCUACAGCUCCGAUUAGACCCCUAGCCUGGGAACCUCCAUAUGCCACGGGUGCGGAC
rnacentral:lncRNA from 1 species